rnacentral:tRNA from 1 species
AGUAAGAUAGGAUAAUUAAGUCUGUAAGGUUCAUACCCUUGAGGUGGUUUUUCUCUUAUUA